rnacentral:lncRNA from 1 species
CUAUACCCCUAGCACGCACAAACGGGCAAGACCACAAAAGGAUUGGGAAGAAAAGAAAGCGACUUGAAGAAGGAGUGAAGGAAAUUACUACACGGUCAGAGACGAACACUUACUUGAGGUAAUCCUGGUCGUCGGAAUCUUGCCGGAGCUUUAAAGCUCCGAUGAGAUUUUCAUCUUCUGAUCUAUACUAUUGAGUACCUUGUAGUUGAAUUGAUUUUCCGCUUGCAUUCUUGUUGAUUAUGUUGGUGAGUGUUUCGUCGCUGAUUUAGGGUGAUUUCUUGAACUGAGAAUCAAUUGAUACCGCAGAUCUAUAGAAGUUGUUUUGGCUUAUCCGUGAGGUUGAUGAUGACUUUCUUUUAGAAUCAGUAUGUAUAUUUGAAUAUGUAUGUUCUGGGUUCUGGUUUGGCCAUGGUUGAACAAAAUUGAGGUUUCAUGUGUGUUUUCUUUUGAAAAUUCAGAGAGAUAAAGAAAGGAGAAAUCGUUGGAGAGGAGUAGAUAGUAAUAAGUGACCAAAGUCACAUUUGCUUUUGGUCCUUUCUUUUCAUUCAGC